UACGGGGGGUGCGAGCGUUGUCCGGAAUCACUGGGCGUAAAGGGCGCGUAGGUGGCCUGAUAAGGGUGUGGUGAAAGUCCGGGGCUUAACCCCGGAUCUGCCGUGCCGACUGUUAGGCUAGAGUGCUGUAGGGGCAGGCGGAAUUCCGGGUGGUAGCGGUGGAAUGCGUAGAGAUCCGGAGGAAGACCGGUGGCGAAGGCGGCCUGCUGGGCAGAUACUGACACUGAGGCGCGACAGCGUGGGGAGCAAACAGGG
rnacentral:rRNA from 1 species